AUAGACUAAAUACCCCCUUCUCCAAAAGCUAUAAAAGGAAAUCCCCUCGCAUGCAAAAUAGUGAAAAUCCGAAUAAAAUAAUGCCGGCUAAGUUCAAUAUAGUUCCAUCGGAGUGCAGCCAACAGCGUCCCAUGAGCUAAUACUCCCACUUCACCCCUCAUCUCAACCUAAUCCUGCAUCUAGUCUAAUGAGUUAGUCUAUCAUCGAUCCGCCACUCAAAUCUCAGGUACCUUUGCCAGAGCCUCCUCCACCCAAAAUAAGCUUUCUUCCCUGUCAAACGCUUCCUUAGCCAGCUGGUGCGCCGCCCAAUUACCAUCCCUUAAAGGCCUUCACACAUGCAAUGGCUUCAACGGCAAAGACAAGGGGAACGAAGCAACUUGUAUGAACAAAAGCUCUCAAAAUCAUUCCACUAUUUUCUCCCGCAAUCACCUUUGUGCUGGAUGUAUUAGAAGCGGCUCUGAAGCCCACAUCAAAGUUCACCUUGACCAUAUUAACCUCCGGUGGCUCUCAUUCGGUUGUAUAACCAUCUCGUGGCUCAGGAUGGAUAUAUAAAGGCCCAAUUGACGUGAAAUCAAAGGUCGAGUGAUGCAUAAGCUUCCCGGGACAUCAAAGCAUCAAAGAAAUGACACAAGGCAGUAUUUAGGUGUCAUGUCGCGCGACACAAGGCUGAUGUGCUGCCCAAGUAUUUCGGGAUUAUUUUUAUCCGUGAAAUCAAACUUAUACGAAGACUUAGGAUGUGCUGAAGACCUAAUUUAGGCUGCCAUGACCUCUAUAAAUAAGACAUUAGGGGUUGAAUAUAAUCAAGUUGUCUCAAAUGCCUUAAAAAACCCUCGUAGUUUAGAAUUAGUUUUAGUUAUUUUUCUU